rnacentral:rRNA from 1 species
UACGAAGGGGGCUAGCGUUGUUCGGAAUUACUGGGCGUAAAGCGCACGUAGGCGGAUACUUAAGUCAGGGGUGAAAUCCCGGGGCUCAACCCCGGAACUGCCUUUGAUACUGGGUAUCUCGAGUCCGGAAGAGGUGAGUGGAAUUCCGAGUGUAGAGGUGAAAUUCGUAGAUAUUCGGAGGAACACCAGUGGCGAAGGCGGCUCACUGGCCCGGUACUGACGCUCAUGUGCGAAAGCGUGGGGAGCAAACAGG